AGAGUUUAUGGGGGAUACCUUGGCAUUCAGAAGCGAUGAAGGACGUGGUUACCGGCGAAACACUUCGGGGAGUUGGAAACAAGCUAUGAUCCGGAGGUCUCCGAAUGAGGAAACUUUUUAUACUACUUAUUGAAUACAUAGAUAAGCAAGAGUAAACCUAGGGAACUGAAACAUCUUAGUACCUGGAGGAAAGGAUAUCAACCGAGACUCCGCUAGUAGUGGCGAGCGAACGCGGACUAGGCCAGUGCUCUUGCAAGGAUAACUGGAACCAUCUGGAAAGUUGGGCCUCAGUGGGUGACAGCCCCGUACAGGUAAUGCCAAGCAAGAGACUCGAGUAGGGCGGGACACGAGAAAUCCUG
rnacentral:rRNA from 1 species